UUGAACGCUGGCGGCAGGCCUAACACAUGCAAGUCGAGCGGUAGCACAGAGAGCUUGCUCUCGGGUGACGAGCGGCGGACGGGUGAGUAAUGUCUGGGAAACUGCCUGAUGGAGGGGGAUAACUACUGGAAACGGUAGCUAAUACCGCAUAACGUCGCAAGACCAAAGUGGGGGACCUUCGGGCCUCAUGCCAUCAGAUGUGCCCAGAUGGGAUUAGCUAGUAGGUGGGGUAACGGCUCACCUAGGCGACGAUCCCUAGCUGGUCUGAGAGGAUGACCAGCCACACUGGAACUGAGACACGGUCCAGACUCCUACGGGAGGCAGCAGUGGGGAAUAUUGCACAAUGGGCGCAAGCCUGAUGCAGCCAUGCCGCGUGUGUGAAGAAGGCCUUCGGGUUGUAAAGCACUUUCAGCGGGGAGGAAGGCGAUAAGGUUAAUAACCUUGUCGAUUGACGUUACCCGCAGAAGAAGCACCGGCUAACUCCGUGCCAGCAGCCGCGGUAAUACGGAGGGUGCAAGCGUUAAUCGGAAUUACUGGGCGUAAAGCGCACGCAGGCGGUCUGUCAAGUCGGAUGUGAAAUCCCCGGGCUCAACCUGGGAACUGCAUUCGAAACUGGCAGGCUAGAGUCUUGUAGAGGGGGGUAGAAUUCCAGGUGUAGCGGUGAAAUGCGUAGAGAUCUGGAGGAAUACCGGUGGCGAAGGCGGCCCCCUGGACAAAGACUGACGCUCAGGUGCGAAAGCGUGGGGAGCAAACAGGAUUAGAUACCCUGGUAGUCCACGCCGUAAACGAUGUCGAUUUGGAGGUUGUGCCCUUGAGGCGUGGCUUCCGGAGCUAACGCGUUAAAUCGACCGCCUGGGGAGUACGGCCGCAAGGUUAAAACUCAAAUGAAUUGACGGGGGCCCGCACAAGCGGUGGAGCAUGUGGUUUAAUUCGAUGCAACGCGAAGAACCUUACCUGGUCUUGACAUCCACAGAACUUUCCAGAGAUGGAUUGGUGCCUUCGGGAACUGUGAGACAGGUGCUGCAUGGCUGUCGUCAGCUCGUGUUGUGAAAUGUUGGGUUAAGUCCCGCAACGAGCGCAACCCUUAUCCUUUGUUGCAGCGGUUAGGCCGGGAACUCAAAGGAGACUGCCAGUGAUAAACUGGAGGAAGGUGGGGAUGACGUCAAGUCAUCAUGGCCCUUACGACCAGGGCUACACACGUGCUACAAUGGCAUAUACAAAGAGAAGCGACCUCGCGAGAGCAAGCGGACCUCAUAAAGUAUGUCGUAGUCCGGAUUGGAGUCUGCAACUCGACUCCAUGAAGUCGGAAUCGCUAGUAAUCGUAGAUCAGAAUGCUACGGUGAAUACGUUCCCGGGCCUUGUACACACCGCCCGUCACACCAUGGGAGUGGGUUGCAAAAGAAGUAGGUAGCUUAACCUUCGGGAGGGCGCUUACCACUUUGUGAUUCAUGACUGGGGUG
rnacentral:rRNA from 1 species